UACGGAGGGUGCGAGCGUUGUCCGGAAUCACUGGGCGUAAAGGGCGCGUAGGCGGCCUGAUAAGUAGGGGGUGAAAUCCUGCGGCUUAACCGCAGGGCUGCCUUCUAGACUGUCAGGCUAGAGCACAGUAGAGGCAGGUGGAAUUCCCGGUGUAGCGGUGGAAUGCGUAGAGAUCGGGAAGAACAUCGGUGGCGAAGGCGGCCUGCUCGGCUGUUGCUGACGCUGAGGCGCGACAGCGUGGGGAGCAAACAGG
rnacentral:rRNA from 1 species